GAAAACACCUCUGUGUUGGGGAGUAUUCAAAGCUACAUUUUCAAAGCAGAAGACUACAUUUUAUAAAAUAUGUCAGACUACCAGUAUGCUGUGUAUUUUGAGGCAAGUAACCUCUCAGAGGAAGAUCUGAGGAAGAUCAAACAGUACUUUCAGAUUAGGCGUCGUUCUGGAGGGGGAGAAUGUGGAGAAGUGAAGAAAAUAAGCGAGAACUUCUACAGGAUAGCCUUUAGGGAGGAAACAGACCAGAAACAAGUGUUAAGAAAAACGGAUCAUACUAUCCAGCUAUCCAGACAAAGAAAUCUGCAAAUCACUUUAAGCUGCAAUGAGAUACAAGAGGAUAACAGUCUUGCACAGUCUGCGUCACGUCAACAGACAGCCUCAAGUUGUAAACCAGUGGAAAAUAUAUUUGAAUUGGAUUCUUAUCUUCUGCGAUUCCUGAAAGAAAAUAAAGAAGCAUUCUUGGACUUGGAGAAACACCUUUCCUCUCUAAACUGCUCCUUUAAAUUAGACCUGGACUCUGAGAAAGUAGUGGUAGUAAAGGAUGAAGUCAAGUCUGGUGAAGAUGAUAUUGCCCUUGAUAAAUGGAAAGCAAAGGUUGAGGACGUGUUUUUUAAGCUAAAGUUACGCUAUGACAUCUAUUUUGAGGUUAACCCUGAUAGCCUAAAGACCCUCAAGCAGAACCCCUUUUUACCCACAGAAGACCUUGGAAUCUAUAGAGAAGAAGAUGUAGUUGUAAUUGUGGGAGAACCUAUGAAGCUGGAGAAGCUCCUAAAAGCCAUGAAGUUGCAACAGCAGAUCUGUAAAGAGUGUCUUGUGUCUGAAGCAAAUUUUGAUCUUGUGAAGGAGCAGUUCAGGCUGGAAAUACAGUCUAAUUUUUCAGAGAUCAACAUUGCACAAGACAGGCCUGGCUCUGUUGUUCUUAAAGGUCCCAAGGAGCAAGUUGAAGCUGCAGGGUCAAAGCUUCAGGAGCUGGUGAGUCAAAUUCAAGAGAAAAAGAUUCAUCUUCAUCAAGCCCUCACAACAUUCUUGUCAUCAAGUGGUGCUAUACAAAAGUUCCAGGUGCGAUUCCAACAGAGUCUACGCAGUCCAGUUCUGUUUGAGACCAGAAAUUCAGACCUGGUUCUAAUGAGCCUGUCCACUGGGGCUCUUCAGGAAGCAGCGGCUGCAGUGCAGAGGGACCUGUGCAUGGAGUCAGUGCCACUAGAGGGAACUGAAGCUAAUUCACCUGGAAUAGACUCUCUGAAAGAAUCUUUGAAUCAAGCCUUACAAGAAGCUAAUCAAGGAAGCACUAAUGUGGAGUUAAUUUAUCAACCAGGAACACGUGCUGAUUCCAGGAUUAAGGUGCAAGUAGUGGGAUACAGCAAUGAAGUUAGCAAAUUAAAGAAAAUCAUACAGGACUACAAGGAAAAACAAGCAACCUGCCACGACUCUUUGCCUCUACCUCUACCAGAAAUGGUAG
rnacentral:lncRNA from 1 species